UACGUAGGGUGCAAGCGUUGUCCGGAAUUAUUGGGCGUAAAGGGCUCGUAGGCGAUCCAUCGCGUCGGGAGUGAAAAGCUGGGGCUUAACCCCAGUCCUGCUUCCGAUACGGGUGGACUAGAGGUAGGUAGGGGAGAACGGAAUUCCUGGUGUAGCGGUGAAAUGCGCAGAUAUCAGGAGGAACACCCGUAGCGAAGGCGGCACUCUGGGCCGAUACUGACACUGAGGAGCGAAAGCGUGGGGAGCGAACAGG
rnacentral:rRNA from 1 species